rnacentral:rRNA from 1 species
CUACGGGUCGCAGCAGUGGGGAAUAUUGCACAAUGGGCGCAAGCCUGAUGCAGCCAUGCCGCGUGUAUGAAGAAGGCCUUCGGGUUGUAAAGUACUUUCAGCGGGGAGGAAGGGAGUAAAGUUAAUACCUUUGCUCAUUGACGUUACCCGCAGAAGAAGCACCGGCGAACUCCGUGCCAGCAGCCGCGGUAAUACGGAGGGUGCAAGCGUUAAUCGGAAUUACUGGGCGUAAAGCGCACGCAGGCGGUUUGUUAAGUCAGAUGUGAAAUCCCCGGGCUCAACCUGGGAACUGCAUCUGAUACUGGCAAGCUUGAGUCUCGUAGAGGGGGGUAGAAUUCCAGGUGUAGCGGUGAAAUGCGUAGAGAUCUGGAGGAAUACCGGUGGCGAAGGCGGCCCCCUGGACGAAGACUGGCGCUCAGGUGCGAAAGCGUGGGGAGCAAACAGGAUUAGAUACCCUAGUAGUC